AAUGGAGGAGCAGCAGAUGGAAAAUGAUGCAGAUGUCUGCAAGAAAGAGUAGGCCUGUUUGCUUUGUGCCUGAGCAGAAGCCCCUGUGCCAUCGGUAAGAGCCAUUGCGGUGCUGGGAGCAGAGGAGGAAAGGGGGCCUGGCUGCUUCUGGAAAUAGGCAAUAACUUCCAACUCCAGGCUUUCACUGAGCACCUAGAUUCUGCAGCAAGAAAAUAACAGUUUUUUUCAGAUGCUGGAUAGUGGUUGCAGGAGCGAUGCAGGCACACUCUGGCAGGGACUGACACUGCCAGAGGGUGUUCCACGCUUCAGGACAUCCCAACUUGGGGCAGUCUGGGCAACACCCUACAAAAGUAACUCCUGGAGUAUUUGGAGUGGUCUGUAAUA